rnacentral:rRNA from 1 species
CCUACGGGAGGCAGCAGUGGGGAAUCUUGCGCAAUGGGCGAAAGCCUGACGCAGCCAUGCCGCGUGAAUGAUGAAGGUCUUAGGAUUGUAAAAUUCUUUCACCGGGGACGAUAAUGACGGUACCCGGAGAAGAAGCCCCGGCUAACUUCGUGCCAGCAGCCGCGGUAAUACGAAGGGGGCUAGCGUUGCUCGGAAUUACUGGGCGUAAAGGGAGCGUAGGCGGAUAGUUUAGUCAGAGGUGAAAGCCCAGGGCUCAACCUUGGAAUUGCCUUUGAUACUGGCUAUCUUGAGUACGGAAGAGGUAUGUGGAACUCCGAGUGUAGAGGUGAAAUUCGUAGAUAUUCGGAAGAACACCAGUGGCGAAGGCGACAUACUGGUCCGUUACUGACGCUGAGGCUCGAAAGCGUGGGGAGCAAACAGGAUUAGAUACCCUGGUAGUCCACGCUGUAAACGAUGAGUGCUAGUUGUCGGCAUGCAUGCAUGUCGGUGACGCAGCUAACGCAUUAAGUACACUCCGCCGUCGGGGAGGUACGGUCGGCGAAGAAUUAAAACUAACAAAGAAAGUUAGUACGGCGUGAGACGUGCCGACGGACGACGACGAGGGAGGAGG